rnacentral:rRNA from 1 species
CCUACGGGUGACAGCAGUGAGGAAUAUUGGUCAAUGGACGAGAGUCUGAACCAGCCAAGUAGCGUGAAGGAUGAAGGCCCUAUGGGUGGGAAACUUCAUGUAUAAAGGAAUAAAACGAGGCACGUGUGCCAGUUUGCAUGGACAUUAUGAAUAAGGAUCGGCUAACUCCGUGCCAGCAGCCGCGGUAAUACGGAGGAUCCGAGCGUUAUCCGGAUUUAGUGGGUUUACCGGGAGCGUAGAGGGGUUGUUAAGUCCGUGGUGAAAGUUUGCGGCUCAACCGUAAAAUUGCAAUUGAUACUGGCAGUCUUGUGUACAGUUGCGGUAGGCGGACUUCGUGGUGUAGCGG